rfam:Myceliophthora thermophila ATCC 42464 chromosome 6, complete sequence.
GGCAAGGUGGCCGAGCGGUCCAAGGCGCCACGUUAAGGUCUUCAAAACCCUUAAUCCCAGUUUCCGUGGUCUCGAAAGGGGCGUGAGUUCGAAUCUCACCCUUGUCA